UAGUACAGCAUCAUCCCAUGACACCUUUGGGAAUAAUCUCACGCUGAAGCAUUGCCCUAGCCCCAGAAAAAUGAGGGGAGACAUUUCAGUGGUCUUGCAAGUCCCACUCAUGGGGUGCCAGAACUGUCCCCUCAAGCCAAGAUUGGCCAAGUAAAACUCAGCGGGGGCGGCAUUCACUUGGAGGAACAUUUCAAGCAGGAGGUGGAGAGGAGGAGUGGAUUUAAGGUCAGAGAAAUGCAACAGACAGAAUCUAUGGAGAGUUACCCAGAGGGCAAUUUUGAAUUACAUUGCAAGAAGGAUAGGAAAUGAGUGAAGGUGACGGAGGAUGGAGGAGGAGUGAUGUGGCAUCAUUUCCCGGAGCGAGAGAGCAAAGCAAUCUCUUAAAAAGAUAAAAACAAGGCUCGAGAGUCUGUGGCAGGUCAGAUUGGGGUGUAUUAAAUGUGGUGAUGAUUUUUUGUUUUCUCUCUGCAACACAUUUCCUCCCUCCCUCCCCUUCUGCCCACAUGCACUUUCCUGAAAAAACACCAUGCUUUAAAUUGCACAAUACGUCAUGUCACUGUGGCCAAGACACCGUCACGGGGUGUAAGUGAUGGGGCUGACACAGCCAGAUGGGCUGCUCCAGAUGCUGCAUGUACAAGGAGCAGCUGCUCCACAGCUUCCACGUAGAUUUUGCUUCCAAGGCUCCACCAUCAUCAAUGAAGAAAAAUAAACGAGUACAGAUUGCGUCACACAAGCGUGUGCAUCACGCAGGCCUUCACCAUGACUGGCUGUCUUUGAGUGGCUGCUGAACGGAGUGUGGUGACUUUCCAGCUCUUAGCCACUCUAGGUGGCCCUUCAAGGACCAUGUUGUGACACCUUAAUGGGUUAGAGGUAGUGAAACUUGCACUCAGAACUGGCUGGCAAAUGUCUCAGUAUGGAGGGGGGAUCCAUGGAAAAUUUCAACAACAAUUAAAUUUGUUUUAUUUUUGUGGAAGUUUCCCCCAAACUGAAAAUUUUCUACCAAAAAUCAGAACAAUUUUUGGCCACAAACCAGAAGUUUUGACUUAAAACUGCUGAGAAUUGAAAUAUUUUCCAUUUUCAACCAACAUAUUUCAGUUUUCAGGUUUUCCAACCUCCACCCACCCCCAAUGAUUUUUGAGGAAGGCAGCAAUUUUCCAUGAAAAUGCUCAUUUAGUUGAAAACCCCAAUUUUCCAUCAGGAAUCCGUUUGGCUAGAACAUUGUUAUUCACCCUCCUGGCACUGCUGCUGUCCCUGUUCUGGGGAUAACGAGAGGAGUUUAAUCCCAUGACUGUCAAUCCAGCAUGAAAUUCAGCAUGCUCCUUCCAUUGAGGGACAUGGGAACCUGUCCCACUCCGAACAAUGAGAAUAUUAAAUCAGAGCAAAAUACAUUUACCUUCAUCUGUGAACCACUGGCAGCUGUUAAUUUAACAGAGGAGCUCUUUGGGAGGAGAGACCCGUGCCAGGGCCACUGCUCCUGUACGCCAGACUACAGCAGUAGAAAAAGCACAACUUUAAGGAAGCUCCCACAGGCCAGCAGCCAUUGUGGAGGACUGAGAGGAACUUUCAAUGAGCUCCUUAGUUUAAACUGAGGAGCAGGGCCCCACCAAAAAAUUCUGACCUAGCCACAUCCUUUAUCCCCACCAAAUAUCACCACCCAGUGUUUUGGCAGGUCGCAUCUCUUGUAGUCCUGGGAGAGUGUCACCUUGUGAGUCUGAGCUGAUGGAUAGACAAGCCACAACAGCAAGUGAGCAUUUGUGGAGUCCUCUGCCAUGACAGAGCCUCCAGUCUUAGCAGGGCCCUUUCACUGCCUAAAUAUGAACCAUACUCUGCCUUUCUAUAAGGCCUUUUCUCCAAAGGUGUCAAAGCACUCCCUAACGUUAGUGAAUUAAACCUUGAGAUGUCCCUGUGCUGUGGUGAGUACCCUCGCUGCAGUACCUACCCCACACUUCUCACCAUGGUGUGUUAUCUCCAUUGGCCAAAAGGCAGAAACAAAGGCACAAAGAGGCCUCAAUUUUCAGAAAUGUUGAGCAUCCACAGGCCCUUAGGGCUGGAUUUUCAGAAGAAACCAGAGUCCAAAAUGCCUGAUUGAGGUGCCUAAAUGGGAGGGGGAGUGACCUUCAGGAAAUCUAUCCCUAUGUGACUUACCCAGAGUGUCACAAUAAGUCAGUGGAAGAGCCACAAAAAGAACCCAGGCAUCUGGGCUUGACGGCUCUAACCCUGCACCUCCCAACUCUCCAAGCCUAGCUUGGAGAGAAAUUUUAUAAACACAGAUGCUGUUAAAUAUUAAACAAAAUGACCGAGCAGUGGAAAGCAAAAGCGUUGGUUUCUGAGGGGGGUCUCAGGAAUAAGGGAGAUAAAUCCUGAGAGUAAAACCUACAUGGGGAGAAGAAGACAAAUACAGAAAUCAAGAAGAAAAGAAGAUGAAUUCGGGCUAGAGAGAGAUGGGGGAGCUCUAAGAUAUAGGAGGUUUCUUGGAGGCAAAUGUACAAUUGGGAGAAAUGAGAUAACUACCUAAGAGAGAUAAAUCAUGAGGAGAGAACAUCCGAAAAUUAUUGGGAAUAAAGCCUUCCCUGAUCAUCUCCUGCCUUUUCAUCUCUCUGGUGCCUGAGACGUCCUGCCAACAGGGGCAGGCAUCUGGAUUUGAAGGGCUCGGUUAUUCCUCCAAUCAUGCCACCAUCCUAGCAGGAACGCCAAGAACAGUGGGCCUCAGACACUUGGGCUGAACUUCCUCUGGAAGUAUGCACCUCCCCGGUCAGCGUACAUAGUGUAUAGGGAUUGGGUAGGAUCCCUUUCCAUAGCUGAUUUCAGAGGCCAAGAAAGAAGGAAAGGAAGCACAGGGACCUGGUGGUAACGGGUGAUGGACGUGACAACGUAGCCUAACUGAGAAUACCAAUGAUUUUAAAGCAUCAAGAAAUCAAACUGACAAGCGGGAACACAGGCUCAGAAUAAGAAAUGUCGGCUUCAGAGCUACUGCGGGCCUGGAGAGCUUUUUCCUUUCCCCUCACGAUGGAUUAGGUGGAUGCUGGGGAUAGAUAAUUCUGAAUUCCCUCUGUAA